CAUAUCGUUACUAUUUUUAGACAAUAGUUAGCAUCACACCCAACAUGGCUUUUGGAAUUCUGUUAUUUAUUUGUUGCGUUUCCUUUCAUCUCUUCAGGAAGUUCAAGUGAGAGAAAGUCACGCUUCAGUUAAAAUCAUGGCCUCCGUUGCCAAUGUUAGAUUGCAAAGGAUUUGAAACGAGGAUUGGGCGAAACCAAAAAACAAAAUAAUGAAAAGUUAAGCCUGAGGAUGGCAGACAAGUUUCUGUCUUUCAACCACAACAACAUCAAAUGUAAACGAAAAACGACACAUCAAAAAGCAGUAAGAAAUGGGCUGAAGUGUGACGAGUGACGUCACAGACUAGUUUCCUGGCAUGCGCAGAGGACGGUGGAGUCGGUAUGGUAAUUUUGCUACACAGAGUUGUAUAAAAGAGGGCGCAAAACAAGUCACCAGUCUCAACACUGAAAAGUGAGAAAAUAUCGUCUGCCGAACCUGACGCGUAAAUCGACGACAUUUUCCUUUUACUUCAGCUCUAGGCUGGGAUGGAUCGUCCGAAGAAAGAGCCGGAGGAGAACACUGAUGACGAGGAAGAAAACGUGCAAGGGGCUAUAUACAAUGAAGAGAUACCAAUAUUAGUGUUGGUUACUUUUGUAUUGGUGUUAAUCCUUCUGCACUAAGAAAGGAUGCCAAGAGUAUACAAUUAGAUACCUUCACUGGAAAAAUACAUUUACUGUUUUAAAAUGUUUUGUUGCAAAUUCUUAAUGUUUCCUUCCUUUAUUGAAAAUGUAAAUUCCUUUGUUUGCAAGGGAUCGAUGUUGUAAUGUUAAUGAACUAGGAUAAAACAAUAGGACAAUAGGGAACUUGAUUAAGUGCAAAGGUUACAUAAGAUAACACAUGUCCCAGAGCAGAACUUUAAGUAGACAAGUUGCAUGCAUUUUUGUCAGUUGUAGCUUUAGGAUUUAGCUGUGUAUCUUAAAGUUUGGUCAGCCAAUUUAAAUCCACAGUGUAGUGAUGUUAUUCCGUGCUUAGACACAACAAUUGAGCUUUAAUAACUAGAACCCAGAUAAGGUUGUGUCUGGACAAAUUUAUUGGCUAAAAAUUAAAUCUUGUAUAAUUAAUUAUUAGUGAUUUUAAAUUUUUUAAGCUGUAGCUAAGGCCCUAUUGCCAAUUUACUGUACAUUAUGUACUUUUAAUAAACUAAUAUGGCUUAGCCUUCGAGAAAUGUCUCCUGAGUCUCAUGCUCUGUAAUAUAUAGUUGAUGAAAUGCUUUUUAGUUGUUAUUAUGACCUGCAAAACGCUUUGAUGCAAUGCUUAUGUACUUCAUACUCUAGAAAACAAUCAUAGAACAGAAAAAAAGCAGUUGCCCUUGUAGAAGACACAGGGGCCCUUUGCUGGGUUAUUGUGUUGUGUUCUUUAGCCAGAAACUUUACUCUCACAAUAAACUCUCUUCAUCCAGGAGUAGAAAUGGAAACUGGUGAACUGUUAAACCUUAAAUUCCUGUGA